rnacentral:rRNA from 1 species
CUACGGGCCGCAGCAGUUAGGCAUAAUCUACAAUGCGCGCAAGCGUGAUAGUUUGAGCCAGAGUGCUUUUCAAACGAAAAGCUUUUGCCGAAUGUAAAAAGUUCGGCGAAUAAGGACUGGGUAAGACGAGUGCCAGCCGCCGCGGUAAUACUCGCGGUCCAAGUCGCAGCCAUUUUUAUUGGGUCUAAAACAUCCGUAGCUUGCUUAGUAAGUCCCUUGUGAAAUUCUAUAUCUUAAGUAUGGAGCGGGCAAGGGGUACUGUUAAGCUAGAGACUGGUAGACGUAACGAGUACGUUUGGAGUAGCGGUAAAAUGUGUUAAUCCCAGACGGACUAACAAUGGCGAAGGCAUGUUACGAGAACAGUUCUGACAGUAAGGGAUGAAGGCUAGGGGCGCAAAACGGAUUAGAUACCCCCGUAGUC